AUGUAGCUCAGUUGGUAGAGUACUUGCUUUGCAUGCAUGAAGGUUAAGUCUUGGGUUUGAGCCCCAGCAU
rnacentral:tRNA from 1 species